rnacentral:rRNA from 1 species
GACGAACGCUGGCGGCGUGCCUAAUACAUGCAAGUCGAACGCUGAAGCGAGGAGCUUGCUCUUCUUGGAUGAGCUGCGAACGGGUGAGUAACGCGUAGGUAACCUGCCUGGUAGCGGGGGAUAACUACGGGAAACGAUAGCUAAUACCGCAUAAAAUGGAUUAUCGCAUGAUAAACCAGUGAAAGGUGCAAAUGCAUCACUACCAGGUGGACCUGCGUUUUAUUAGCUAGUUGGUGGGGUAACGGCCCACCCAGGCGACGGUACAUAGCCGGCCUGGAAGGGGGAUCGGCCACACUGGGACUGAGACACGGCCCAGACUCCUUCGGGAGGCAACAGUAGGGGAUCUUCGGCAAAGGGCGGAAGGCUGACCGAAGAACGCCGGGUGAGUGGAGAAAGUUUUCGGAUCGUAAAGCUCUGUUGUAUGGGAAGGAAGAGUGGGAGAGUGAAAAGUUCACACUGUGACGGUAUCUUACCAGAAAGGGACGGCUAACUACGUG